GAUGAACGCUGGCGGCGUGCUUAAUACGUGCAAGUCGAACGGAGACGUUAUAGCAAUAUGAUGUCUUAGUGGCGAACGGGUGAGUAACGCGUUGGUGACCUGCCCCGAAGCGGGGGAUAACAGCUCGAAAGGGCUGCUAAUACCCCAUGUGGUCGCAAAGGUUAGAGGCUUUGCGAUUAAAGGAGUAAUCCACUUUGGGAGGGGCCUGCGUCCCAUCAGCUAGUUGGUAGGGUAAAAGCCUACCAAGGCGACGACGGGUAGGGGGCCUGAGAGGGUGACCCCCCAAGCGGGAACUGAAACACGGGCCAGACACCUACGGGUGGCAGCAGUAGGGAAUAUUGGACAAUGGGCGAAGGCCUGAUGCAGCAACGCCGCGUGCGCGAUGAAGGCCUUCGGGUCGUAAAGCGCUCUUCGGGGAGAUGAGGAAGGACAGUAUCCCCGGAAUAAGGUUCGGCUAACUACGUGCCAGCAGCCGCCGUAAUAC
rnacentral:rRNA from 1 species